rnacentral:tRNA from 1 species
CCAGGCAUGUAGCUCAGGGGUAUAGCACUCACCUAGCAUGUGUGAGGUCCUGGGGUCUAUCCCCAGUGUAAGAA